rnacentral:rRNA from 1 species
AACGAACGCUGGCGGCGUGCCUAAUACAUGCAAGUCGAACGGUCUUUCUAUGGAAGCUUGCUUCCACUGAGAAGAUAGUGGCGAACGGGUGAGUAACACGUGGGUAACCUGCCCAUAAGAGGGGGAUAACAUCCGGAAACGGGUGCUAAUACCGCAUAGUUUUCUUGAUCGCAUGAUCGGGAAAGGAAAGACGGCCUUUGUGCUGUCGCUUAUGGAUGGACCCGCGGCGUAUUAGUUAGUUGGUGAGGUAACGGCUCACCAAGACGAUGAUACGUAGCCGACCUGAGAGGGUGAUCGGCCACAUUGGGACUGAGACACGGCCCAAACUCCUACGGGAGGCAGCAGUAGGGAAUCUUCCGCAAUGGACGAAAGUCUGACGGAGCAACGCCGCGUGAGUGAAGAAAAGGUUUUCGGAUCGUAAAACUCUGUUGUCAGAGAAGAACAAGUUGGAGAGUAACUGCUCCAGCCUUGACGGUAUCUGACCAGAAAGCCACGGCUAACUACGUGCCAGCCGCAGC